GACGAACGCUGGCGGCGUGCCUAAUACAUGCAAGUAGAACGCUGAAGCGAGGAGCUUACUCUUCUUGGAUGAGUUGCGAACGGGUGAGUAACGCGUAGGUAACCUGCCUUGUAGCGGGGGAUAACUAUUGGAAACGAUAGCUAAUACCGCAUAACAAUGGAUGACACAUGUCAUUUAUUUGAAAGGGGCAAUUGCUCCACUACAAGAUGGACCUGCGUUGUAUUAGCUAGUAGGUGAGGUAAUGGCUCACCUAGGCGACGAUACAUAGCCGACCUGAGAGGGUGAUCGGCCACACUGGGACUGAGACACGGCCCAGACUCCUACGGGAGGCAGCAGUAGGGAAUCUUCGGCAAUGGGGGCAACCCUGACCGAGCAACGCCGCGUGAGUGAAGAAGGUUUUCGGAUCGUAAAGCUCUGUUGUAAGUCAAGAACGGGUGUGAGAGUGGAAAGUUCACAAUGUGACGGUAGCUUACCAGAAAGGGACGGCUAACUACGUG
rnacentral:rRNA from 1 species